UUUUAAGUCUUGUUAAGGUGUAUGUUCAUUUUGAGUUGAUGUUUGAUGUGAAAUGAGGAUCUAAUGCAUAUAUUUAGUUUUCCAAACACUAGUUCUUGAAGGCAUCUGUGUCAAAAACCAGUUGACUAUAGGAGCCUAAGCCUUCUUUCUGGGCCUUUUUUUACUCCAUUGAUCUAUGUGUCACAACUUUUUUAUAUCAUGUCUUGUUAUUUAAUGAUAGCUCUUUUAGUAUCCUACUGGUUGAUUCCAUUCUUUGUCAUUCCAUUGUGUUAUUUAUACUGCUAUUCUUUUUUAUUUUUUUUAUUGAUUCUUUGUGCAUGUCACCUCGUACACCACAAUCCCACCCAUCUCCCCAUCCCUCCAUAUCUGCCCUCUGCCCUUGCAACCUCCAAAAGAAAACAAAACAGGAAAUAAAAAUUAGAAGAAUAAAUCUGGCUGUAGUAUGUCCCACAGGUUUGCUCAACAGCUUUACUUGCAAAUGUUCAGUACAAUGAAUCACUGAUGUGAUUCGAGGCCUCUGGCUUCAGCUAUAUGAUCAAUAUUUGAUCCUCAUUUGGACUCCUCUCAGAUAUCCAUGAGGUUCGGCCCCUUCAUACAGUCCAGCAAUUCAUAAAUGGGAUAAAUAUUAGGGUGAGCCAACUUACAGCCUUGGUUUUUUGUUCAGCUCUCCUGUUUGUGGCAGCUAGCAAAAGGCUGAACUAACUCUACCUCCUCCUGGGCUCAAGCCAUCUGGGCCAGCUCUUCAGCACUGUUCCUGCUAGGGAUGGGGCCAUCUCUCCUGCUCUCACACCCUUUGCCCAGCUCUCCCUUACCAGCAAGGGGUGGGGCCAAUUACCCCAUGAGGGGGCAACUCUACUGUGCUGCCCAGGUGAGAUGCAGGAAGGGGUCUACUUUUCUGAAUGUGUGCUGCUAUUUAUAUAGAAACUUUAGCAGAAAAUAAGUAUCAUUCAAUGGAUGACAUGGGAAUCCACUCCCUGAUAAAGUGAUGCUGCUUAUUUUUCAAAUGCUGCCAUAUGUACCAUAAAAAAAUGAAAAACAAGGAGCAAUGUAUGUGUGUAUAGAAUAUGUAUAAGUAUAUAAGUGUUUCAUAUAAAAUGUUUAUAUAAAACCAUCUAUAUUGUUUUAAAUUUUAACAAAAGUUUAUUGGCUUAAGAAAUGUCACUCAGUUGAGCACAAUCCAUAGUGAAGAUAUGGGGGAAAUGUAUAAGAUGUAGCAAUAACUAUAUUUACUUGUUUUUAUAGACUUUUCUUCAAAAGAACUAGAGAUCUUCAUUUGUUCCUUUUCAUCUUCCUGGCUUCAAAUGUUUGUUGCAGAAGCAAUUUUUAAAAAGCUGUGCUUACAGGGCCCCACUAGUACGUGCACUGAGCCACUCUCUCUUCAGAAAAUAGUAAGCUCUGCCCUACUCAGGGGGUUGUUUCUUUGUUUGUUUUGUUUUAUUUUUUAAGAAGUUAGUUCAUGAGUUCAGUUUUAAUUCUUAGUUAUUUCUCGUAAGUAGACAAAACACAACUUAUAAAUCUUCCAACACAUUAAGGAGCCGGGGUUUUUUGUUUGUUAGUUUUGUUUUUUGUUUUGAUUUUUCUCAAAAAUACAUUAGUGGGGCACUGGAGAGAUGGCUCCAUGGUUCAAAUCACUUGAAGUUCUUUCAGAGGACCCAAUUUCAGAUCCUAGAAUGUAUGGAUCUUCUGGCUUCAGGCACAGUAGUGUGCAUCUACCCCCUAAACACACACACACGUUAAAUAAAUAAAUAAUAAAAGUAAAUCUUUUAAGGAAUAGAUUUAAUUAUUUGGGGGAAUAGUAUAAAAAAGUAAUUUUGACUUUUGUCAUAAUAUAUAUUUUAAAACCAUAUCCAAGAAUUUGUUGAAUUUGAUAUUUGAAAAGGAAAACUUGGAAAGAUGUAUCCUACAUAUAUACAUGUAUAUAUAAGCUGCAUUUGUUCCCACCUCUUUUGUCUUGGUCAUGUUAGGUACUAAGUUCUAAUGCCCUAGCACUUCUUCAGCAAAUGCCAAGUCCAUUGUUUAUUGUGACACUGGGCAAACUGCUUUGCAACAGGACUGGUGGAAGAGUAGUUUCACUCCUUGUCCCAUUUAUUCUGGACUUACCUUUCUCUUGAAAACAAUCCAUUAGCAAAAUAGAAAUAACAAAAUACCUUUUGACUAUAAGUCUUUAAGUAUAAAAUAUGUAAGUUGGAUGUGAGACUUAAUCAAAAGAACUUUCCGAAAUGAGUAUUAAGACUCAACUGGAAAGUAUAAUUUUUUCCUAAAUGGUAUCAUCAUCUAUAAGAUAUUGACAAAAUAAUUACAUAGAUAAUUACACAGAACUGGCAGUGUUAAUAUUUAGUCAUGCUUGGAGAAGAUCAUGUUGCAACCUAGUUAUGAAAUCAAGAAAAUAUACCCAGACUUUAUAGCAAAAUAAUGAAGUAAUCCCUUUUGCUGUCUUUGUAGUUGUGAAUGAUAUAAUAUUAUUUUGCAACAGAUAGAUUCCUAUUUGCCAAUUUUGGGAAAAAUGGACAUACAUGGGGCUGGAAAGAUGCAGAGUCCAAAAAAACUCUGCCAGCGGCCUUGCCUAGAGUCUCAAAGAGCAUUACUAAUGCUGAAUGGUGCAAAACGGAAACAAGCAGAAGGUCGGCCAGAGCUCCUGUAAGUAGUGUUGUUGCUGCAGCUGCACUUUGUUUUGGAAUAUGGUCUUUUUUCUGAAAUUCCUGGUGCUUUAGUUUAUUUUGGGUAUUGUCUACAUAUGAUUGAGAGAAAACUCAAUUUUGGACCUAUAAAUAAAUAAGAUCAGCACUUUUCUUUUACUGUAAUACAAUGACCAUACUUCCUUCCUACUAAGUGCUUCCUGAAAGAAAUGAAACUAUUAAUAAAGUCUUCAUAAGAAUGUUGUCUGAAACAGAAAGUUCAACUUUGUUAUAGGUAGUAUAAAUAAGGUUUUAGAUGCAUAUGAGAUGCUAUACUUUCUGAAAAUGAAAGACUUCUUGAUUGGGAAAUCUGGAGGCCUGCACUCUAAUGUAACUUUCAGCUUUAUUUCCUCUACAAAAUCUGAUUUACUUAGUUUCCUCCUUGCCCAGCGUUCUACACUCAUUACCUUUUUACUGAGCAGUUGGAGAUAUAGACUAAUAAAGUAAAAAUUAAUGCAUCAAAAUUUGUUCUCAUGUAGCUGACUUUACUCUAAAGGCUGGAAAGCAGUAUGAUUGAAUGAGUUCAAAGCAGGAUACAUUUUAAAGGAAGAAAAAUACUAUCUUAUGUAUGCUGGCAUGACUUACUGAAAAACAAGCUUUUCUUGGUUUUCUUUCUUUUCAGAGAGUUAAACCGUGCUAAAUGUUCCUCAUCAUU
rnacentral:lncRNA from 1 species